CUCAGGUAGGCCAAGUCCUGCUUCCACAGCCGUGCCAAGAUGAGCCAUACCAGACUCUUUGAGGACAGAGAUGGCAGGAGAAACAAAUGGCACUUCCCUUGUCAUCCCUUUGCUGAGGUUUGUUGGGUCACACCAUCUGUGGCAAUGGCUUUCACCAGCUGCAGGACUGGGUUUUCACUGUCUUUCAGAACAGCAUUUUGAAAUGUGGAGCUGUCACAGAAGGCACAACAUAAGCACUGAAAAAAUGCAUCAAAUGCACAGUUUCAUCUGCAUGGAGCCAUUCGGUACAUGAAGAGAGGUAGGAAGUCCUCUUCCUUUUUUUGGGUGGAACAGCUAGGCCCCUCCAGUUCUCAACUGCAUCCCCAUCAGCCGGAAGAAUGUUUGUGGCAGCAUC